AUGACUCACAUAUAUGGUGUGAGGCUUUUUUCAGUUAGAUACAGGCGUGCGAAGCCACUUCUUCAGAGAGCCGAGGUCUCGUCUCAGGCCAGCGCCGGCGGCGGCGGAAAUACGGGAGUGGCGGCGGGCGUUGAGGCCCUCUCGAGGGCCGUCCUCACCGGCGUCGGCGACGCAGCGCGCGACGACGGAGGUUCAUCUCGUCUUCAUCGGCGUCAGGGCCGCUGCAGAGAUCUCGUCCUCGCCCCCCUCAACGCUGUGGCCGUGUUGACCAGCUCGCCGGCAGCCAGAUCUCCUGCAUAG
rnacentral:rRNA from 1 species